GCUGUGCCAAGUUUCCGGAGGCUGUCCUGGUAUAGAUGUCAGCAAGCUCAGGCUUCUGCAGGCAAAGAGAUCUCAUCUUACCUUGUCUGAAUCCAUUAAUAAUGUCCCAGUCCCACUUAGCCCUCCCAGUGGCCUGAGGUGCAGUUCUGUGAGAAUAACCACUUGGUUUUAGUGGCUAUGAAGGGUUUGCAAUCACAUGGGUGAGCUGGCAUUUCAGAGCAUGAAAGAAAAUGAAACCAGCUCAAUCUCCCCAUAGAGACAAUAUUUAUAAGUUUUUUAAUAAAAGAAGAAAUCAACCCUCCUGGUCUUAAAAUUUGAAAUUUACAUUUGUCUCAUCUGAGUUCCUUCCCCAGGAAACCCACCCUCAGGCACGGAACUGAAACUCACCAGAUCACCGCAUCCAGAGGAUGAGAUCCCAGACCCCUCACUCAGCAGCAUUGCUUCCCUACUGCUUCCUAACUUCUUCCUGCAGGUGGACUGUAUUCUCAAUGCUGGCAAUACAGCAGCAAGCCACAUCCACAAGGACCCCUGCCUAAGCAAGCUGGUUAUCUGGGUGUGUAUUACAAGCCAGAAACAAAUAAGCAAAAUACAGAGGAUGUCAGAUGAUGGUAACUGUGUCCAGAAUUGGUGGGUUCUUGGUCUCAGUGACUUCAAGAAUGAAGCUGCGGACCCUCGUGGUGAGUAUUACAGUUCUUAAAGAUGGUGGGUCUGGAGUUUGUUCCUUCUGAUGUUCAGACGUGUUUGAAGUUUCUUCCAUCUGGUGGGUUUGUGGUCUUGCUGGCUUCAGGAGUGAAGCUGCAGACCUUCGUGGUGAGUGUUACAGCUCUUAAGGCAGCGCAUCUGGAGUUGUUAGUUCCUCGGGUCCAGAGUUGUUCAUUCCUCCCGGUGGGUUUGUGGUCUUGCUGGCCUCAGGAGUGAAGCUGCAAACCUUCGCGGUGAACGUUAAAGCUCUCAUAAAGGCAGCACAGACCCAAAGUCAGCAACAGCAAGAUUUAUUGCAAAGAGCAAAAGAACAAGGCUUCCAAAAGGUGGAAGGAGACCCAAAGGGGUUGUCACUGCUGGUUCAGGCAGCCUGCUUUUAUUCCCUUAUCUGGCCCCACCCACAUCCUGUUGAUUGGUCCGUUUUACAGAGAGCUGAUUGAUCCAUUUUACAGAGAGCUGAUUGGUCCGUUUCACAGAGAACUGAUUGGUCCAUUUUGACAGGGUGCUGAUUGGUGCGUUUACAACACCUGAGCUAGACACAGAGUGCUGAUUGGUGCAUUUACAAUCCUCUAGCUAGACAUAAAAGUUCUCCAAGUCCUCACCAGAUUAGCUAGAUACAGAGUGCUGAUUGGUGCAUUUACAAACAUUGAGCUAGACACAGAGUGCUGAUUGGUGUAUUUACAAUCCUUUAGCAAAACAUAAAGGUUCUCCAAGUCCCCACUGGAUGAGCUAGACACAGAGCACUGAUUGGUGCAUUUACAAACCUUGAGCUAGACACAAGGUGCUGAUUGGUGUGUUUACAAACCUUGAGCUAGACCCAUAGUGCUGAUUGGUGUAUUUACAAACCUUUAGCUAGACAUAAAAGUUCUCCAAGUCCUCACCAGAUUAGCUAGACAGAGAGCACUGACUGGUGCAUUUACAAACCUUGAGCUAGACACAGGGUGCUGAUUGGUGUGUUUACAAACCUUGAGCUAGACACAGAGUGCUGAUUGGUGUAGUUACAAACCUUUAGCUAGACAUAAAAGUUCUCCAAGUCCCCACCAGACUCAGGAGCCCAGCUGGCUUCCCCUAGUGGAUCCCGGGCCAGGGCCGUGGGUGGAGCUGCCCUCCUGCACUCCUCAGCCCUUGGGCGUCAAUGGGACCAGGUGCCGUGGAGCAGGGGGCAGCACCCGUGGGGGAGGCUCCGGCCGCGCGGGAGCCCACCAAGGUGGGGGCUCGUGCAUGGUGGGCUGCAGGUCCCCAAGGGGUCUCAGGCAUGGCAGGCUGCAGGUCCCCAGCCCUGCCCCGUGGGGAGGCGGCUGAGGCCCAGUGAGAAUUCCAGCCUGGCGCGGGCGGGCCGGCAGUGCUAUGGGACCCUGUGCCCCCUCUGUGGCUGCUGGCCCAGGUACUAAGCCCCUCACUGCCUGGCCGGUGGCGCCGACCGGCUGCUCCGAGUGCCGGCAGCUGAGCCCAUGCCCACCCAGAACUUGGGCUAGCCAGUGAGCACCGUGCACAGCCCCGGUUCCCGCCUGCGCUUCUCCCUCCACACCUCCCCGCAAGCAGAGGGAGCCACCUCCAGCCUUGGCCAGUCCAGAGGGGGGCUCCCACAGUGCAGCAGCAGGCCGAAGGGCUCCUCAAGCAUGGCCAGAGCAGACGCUGAGGCCGAGGAGGCACUGAGAGCGAGCGAGGGCCGCCAGCACAUUGUCACCUCUCAGGAGGUACCAUGGAGAAGGACAAAGCAGGGCCAAGAACAAGGCAGAAUAAGUUUGGGGGCUGCACUUUCAACAGUGUGGACAGGACAGGGAACCCUUGAGCGGAAUGUGGAAGGAGGUUGGGGAGGACACCAUUAACACCUGUGGAAGAGCCUUCCAGGCAGAGGGAACAGCCAGUGUGUAGUAAGCCUGAGGUGGGAAUCUGCCUACUUGUUAGAGCAAGAGGCUGGGUGGGGCUUUGAAAAAGGUAGGGCACAAUCUGAAUUCAGGGCAGUUUCAAUGUGAAUGGAAACCAAAAAUAAAAUUCUAAGCCGCCCCCCCACCCCCACUGCACCAUCAUCUGAAUGGACCCCUCCUCUUGGCCAAGGGAACUCCAAAGUUAACCUGAAAAAGUAGUUGAGGCCAUGAUGGAAGUGGGAGUUGGGCAUGCCUCAUUAUAUUUUUCUCCCUUUUUAAAUUCAGCAAAAGCCAACCAUGUCGGGCACAGUGUCUCAUGCCUGUAAUCGCAGCACUUUGGAAGGUCGAGACGGGCGGAUCACUUGAGGCCAGGAGUUUUAAGACCAGCCUGGUCAACAUGGCAAGACCCUGUCUCUACUAAAAAUACAAAAAUUAGCCAGGCAUGGUGGCAGAUGCCUGUAAUCCCAGCUACUCGGGAGGCUGAGGCAGGAGAAUUGCUUGAACCCAGGAGGUGGAGGUUGCAGUGAGCCGAGAUCACGCCAUUGCACUCCAGCCUGGGCGACAGAGCGAGACCCCAUCUCAACCAGCAUUAACAUCAACACAGACCUUAAAUCUGAUAAGAAACAUUUAUAAUCUAUUCUCUCUGAAGCCUGCUACCUGGAGGCUUCAUCUGUGUGAUAAAACCUUGGUCUCCACAACCCCUCAUUAUAACCCAGACAUUCCUUUCUAUUGAUAGUAAUUCUUUCAACCAAUUGCCAAUCAGAAAAUUUUUAAAUCUGCCUGUGACCUGGAAGCCUACUCCACUCACUUCAAGUUGUCCCACCCUUACAUUGGUUACAGAUAGAACCAAUGUAAAUCUUACAUGUACUGACUGAUGUCUAAUGUCUCCCUAAAAUAUAUGAAAGCAAGUUGUACCCUGACCACCUUGGGCACAUGUCCUCAGGACCUCCUGAGGCUAUGUCACAGGUGCAUUCUUCACCUUGGCAAAAUAAACUUUCUAAGUUGGUUAAGAACUGUCUCAGAUACUUUUGGGUUCACA
rnacentral:lncRNA from 10 species